UUAGUGGCGAACGGGUGAGUAACACGUGGGCAAUCUGCCCUGCACUCUGGGACAAGCCCUGGAAACGGGGUCUAAUACCGGAUACUGACCCUCGCAGGCAUCUGCGAGGUUCGAAAGCUCCGGCGGUGCAGGAUGAGCCCGCGGCCUAUCAGCUAGUUGGUGAGGUAAUGGCUCACCAAGGCGACGACGGGUAGCCGGCCUGAGAGGGCGACCGGCCACACUGGGACUGAGACACGGCCCAGACUCCUACGGGAGGCAGCAGUGGGGAAUAUUGCACAAUGGGCGAAAGCCUGAUGCAGCGACGCCGCGUGAGGGAUGACGGCCUUCGGGUUGUAAACCUCUUUCAGCAGGGAAGAAGCGAAAGUGACGGUACCUGCAGAAGAAGCGCCGGCUAACUACGUGCCAGCAGCCGCGGUAAUACGUAGGGCGCAAGCGUUGUCCGGAAUUAUUGGGCGUAAAGAGCUCGUAGGCGGCUUGUCACGUCGGUUGUGAAAGCCCGG
rnacentral:rRNA from 1 species